UACAAACUGAGAAGCUGCGCUCUGAAGGUAGGGCUGGGCUUUUCACUGACCAUGUAGGUGGAUUAGUUGUGUGGGCAAAGUGUGUCAUCAUAGCCACUAUGUUUUCUGCACUUGGAGUAGACAGCACCUUGAUAGCUCAGUUGGUAGAGCAGAGGACUCUAGACAGUUCCUCCUAUGAAGUGCUGUGGUUCCAAGGUCGCUGGUUCAACUCCCGCUCAAAGCAAGCCUUGUGUUCAUCUGUCAGCUCCUCCAAAAUUUAAAAACACAAACAAGAUAACUCCUACUUUAUUUUCCAACCAUCAAUUUUUUAUUCACCCAGCCUAAAAGUCCUGAUUAUCAGUUCUGGGUCCCUGGCAAUGACUGUUGGGUACAAACUGAGAAGCUGUGCUCUGAAGGUAGGGCUGGGCUUUUCACUGACCAUGUAGGUGGAUUAGUUGUGUGGGCAAAGUGUGUCAUCAUAGCCACUAUGUUUUCUGCACUUGGAGUAGACAGCACCUUGAUAGCUCAGUUGGUAGAGCAGAGGACUGUAGGCAGUUCCUCCUAUGAAGUGCUGUGGUUCCAAGGUCGCUGGUUCAACUCCCGCUCAAAGCAAGCCUUGUCUUCAUCUGUCAGCUCCUCCAAAAUUUAAAAACACAAACA